CGCGGCCUAUCAGCUUGUUGGUGGGGUGAUGGCCUACCAAGGCGUCGACGGGUAGCCGGCCUGAGAGGGUGACCGGCCACACUGGGACUGAGAUACGGCCCAGACUCCUACGGGAGGCAGCAGUGGGGGAUAUUGCAUAAUGGGCGCAAGCCUGAUGCAGCGACGCCGCGUGAGGGAUGACGGCUUUCGGGUUGUAAACCUCUUUUACUAUUGAACAAGGCGCCAUAUUGGUGGUGUUGAGGGUAGGUGGUGAAUAAGCGCCGGCUAACUACGUGCCAGCAGCCGCGGUAAUACGUAGGGCGCGAGCGUUGUCCGGAAUUAUUGGGCGUAAAGAGCUCGUAGGCGGCUUGUCGCGUCUGCUGUGAAAUCCUGGGGCUUAACUCUGGGCGUGCAGUGGGUACGGGCAGGCUAGAGUGCGGUAGGGGUGAUUGGAAUUCCUGGUGUAGCGGUGGAAUGCGCAGAUAUCAGGAGGAACACCGAUGGCGAAGGCAGGUCACUGGGCCGUUACUGACGCUGAGGAGCGAAAGCAUGGGGAGCGAACAGGAUUAGAUACCCUGGUAGUCCAUGCUGUAAACGUUGGGCACUAGGUGUGGGGGGCCUUUCCGGGUUUUCUGCGCCGUAGCUAACGCAUUAAGUGCCCCGCCUGGGGAGUACGGA
rnacentral:rRNA from 1 species